GGCCGCGAANNGCCCUUGUGCCAGCCGCCGCGGUAAUACGUAGGGUGCGAGCGUUAAUCGGAAUUACUGGGCGUAAAGCGUGCGCAGGCGGUUGUGUAAGACAGUUGUGAAAUCCCCGGGCUCAACCUGGGAAUUGCAUCUGUGACUGCACGGCUAGAGUGCGGCAGAGGGGGAUGGAAUUCCGCGUGUAGCAGUGAAAUGCGUAGAUAUCGGGAAGAACACCAGUGGCGAAGGCGCUCUGCUGGGCCAUAACUGACGCUCAUGGACGAAAGCCAGGGGAGCGAAAGGGAUUAGAUACCCCUGUAGUCCUGGCCGUAAACGAUGAACACUAGGUGUCGGGGGAAUCGACCCCCUCGGUGUCGUAGCCAACGCGUUAAGUGUUCCGCCUGGGGAGUACGCACGCAAGUGUGAAACUCAAAGGAAUUGACGGGGGCCCGCACAAGCGGUGGAGUAUGUGGUUUAAUUCGAUGCAACGCGAAGAACCUUACCAGGGUUUGACAUCCUGCGAAUCUCCUGGAAACGGGAGAGUGCCUUCGGGAACGCAGUGACAGGUGGUGCAUGGCUGUCGUCAGCUCGUGUCGUGAGAUGUUGGGUUAAGUCCCGCAACGAGCGCAACCCACGUCUUUAGUUGCCAGCAUUCAGUKGGGCACUCUAGAGAGACCGCCGGUGAUAAACCGGAGGAAGGUGUGGAUGACGUCAAGUCAUCAUGCCCCUUACAUSCUGGGCUACACACGUACUACAAUGCUACGGACAAAGGGCAGCAAACUCGCGAGAGCUAGCAAAUCCCAUAAACCGUGGCUCAGUUCAGAUCGUAGGCUGCAACUCGCCUACGUGAAGGAGGAAUCGCUAGUAAUCGCAGGUCAGCAUACUGCGGUGAAUACGUUCCCGGGCCUUGUACACACCGCCCGUCACACCAUGGAAGUUGGCCACGCCCGAAGCCGUUACUCCAACCCUUGUGGAGGAGGACGUCGAAGGUGGGGCUGAUGACUGGGGUGAAGUCGUAACAAGGUAACC
rnacentral:rRNA from 1 species